UUAGAGGAUACAAAGCCAAAGACUCAUAAAAACAU
rnacentral:sRNA from 1 species